rnacentral:lncRNA from 1 species
GUAUCCCAGCAAAGACCAUAUCCACAAUCCUCAUGGAGACUCUCUCUACUAGAACAUCAUCAUCCAAUCCAAAAGAUGGUCAAUCUAAUCUCUUUGGAUGAUCGAUCAGACAAGAUGGAGCCGUCUGUGUCUACUCUACUUGUGCUAUUGGCUCCUUAGUUCUGAUGUUAGUGACAGAUACAGCUGCUGGAGUCUCAUCAUCAUCCGAAUCCAUCUCAUCUCUCUAAGCUACUCCCUUGUGAAUCCAAUUACCAUCUAUCUUCUGGAAUCCCAUCCUCCUCAA